GUAGAACGCUGACUACUUUAGCUUGCUAGAGUAGAAGGAGUUGCGAACGGGUGAGUAACGCGUAGGUAACCUGCCUACUAGCGGGGGAUAACUAUUGGAAACGAUAGCUAAUACCGCAUAACAGUGUUUAACACAUGUUAGAUGCUUGAAAGAUGCAAAUGCAUCACUAGUAGAUGGACCUGCGUUGUAUUAGCUAGUUGGUGGGGUAACGGCCUACCAAGGCGACGAUACAUAGCCGACCUGAGAGGGUGAUCGGCCACACUGGGACUGAGACACGGCCCAGACUCCUACGGGAGGCAGCAGUAGGGAAUCUUCGGCAAUGGGGGCAACCCUGACCGAGCAACGCCGCGUGAGUGAAGAAGGUUUUCGGAUCGUAAAGCUCUGUUGUAAGAGAAGAACGUGUGUGAGAGUGGAAAGUUCACACAGUGACGGUAACUUACCAGAAAGGGACGGCUAACUACGUGCCAGCAGCCGCGGUAAUACGUAGGUCCCGAGCGUUGUCCGGAUUUAUUGGGCGUAAAGCGAGCGCAGGCGGUUUAAUAAGUCUGAAGUUAAAGGCAGUGGCUUAACCAUUGUUCGCUUUGGAAACUGUUAAACUUGAGUGCAGAAGGGGAGAGUGGAAUUCCAUGUGUAGCGGUGAAAUGCGUAGAUAUAUGGAGGAACACCGGUGGCGAAAGCGGCUCUCUGGUCUGUAACUGACGCUGAGGCUCGAAAGCGUGGGGAGCAAACAGGAUUAGAUACCCUGGUAGUCCACGCCGUAAAACGAUGAGUGCUAGUGUUAGGCCCUUUCCGGGGCUUAGUGCCGCAGCUAACGCAUUAAGCACUCCGCCUGGGGAGUACGA
rnacentral:rRNA from 1 species